ACAAUGGGCGCAAGCCUGAUGCAGCCAUGCCGCGUGUAUGAAGAAGGCCUUCGGGUUGUAAAGUACUUUCAGCGGGGAGGAAGGUGUUGUGGUUAAUAACCUCGGCAAUUGACGUUACCCGCAAAAAAAGCACCGGCUAACUCCGUGCCAGCAGCCGCGGUAAUACGGAGGGUGCAAGCGUUAAUCGGAAUUACUGGGCGUAAAGCGCACGCAGGCGGUCUGUCAAGUCGGAUGUGAAAUCCCCGGGCUCAACCUGGGAACUGCAUUCUAAACUGGCAGGCUAUAGUCUUGUAGAGGGGGGUAGAAUUCCCGGUGUAUCGGUGAAAUGCGUAUAGAUCUGGAGGAAUACCGGUGGCGAAAGCGGCCCCCUGGACAAAAACUGACACUCAGGUGCGAAAGCGUGGGGAGCAAACAGGAUUAUAUACCCUGGUAGUCCACGCCCUAAACGAUGUCUACUUGGA
rnacentral:rRNA from 1 species